GAUGGACGCUGGCGGCGUGCUUAACACAUGCAAGUCGAACGGGAAACCUUUUAUUGCAGCUUCGGCAGAUUUAGCUGGUUUCUAGUGGCGGACGGGUGAGUAACGCGUGGGUAACCUGCCUUAUACAGGGGGAUAACAGUCAGAAAUGGCUGCUAAUACCGCAUAAGCGCACAGAGCUGCAUGGCUCAGUGUGAAAAACUCCGGUGGUAUAAGAUGGACCCGCGUUGGAUUAGCUGGUUGGUGGGGUAACGGCCCACCAAGGCGACGAUCCAUAGCCGGCCUGAGAGGGUGAACGGCCACAUUGGGACUGAGACACGGCCCAGACUCCUACGGGAGGCAGCAGUGGGGAAUAUUGCACAAUGGGGGAAACCCUGAUGCAGCGACGCCGCGUGAAGGAAGAAGUAUCUCGGUAUGUAAACUUCUAUCAGCAGGGAAGAUAAUGACGGUACCUGACGAAGAAGCCCCGGCUAACUACGUG
rnacentral:rRNA from 1 species